rnacentral:lncRNA from 1 species
GUGAUCCUCAUGCCUCAGCCUCCUGAGUAACUGGGAUUACAGCUUCUAGAGGCUACCCACAUUCCUGGGCUAAUGGCCCCUUCCUACAUCUUCAAAGCCAGCAGUGGUGGGCUGAGUCUUUCUCCUGGUAUCAUCUCUUCAUUCUCUAUCUCCCUCUCCCAAUUUUAAGGACCUCUGUGAUUAUAUUGGGCACCUGGAUAUUGCAGGAUACGCUCUCUAUUUUAAGGCUAUGCUCCGUAAAGAGAGUGCCUCCUCUAGAAUCACAAGACCUAAGCAUGAAUCUUCCUUUGAAGGAUAAAAUGGAAGGAAAAAAACUGGAUGAGGAAAAGAAGAGUGGGGAAUAGAAAGAGAGAGAGAGAGAAAGAUGGAUAAAUUUUUAAAGUUACUAUAAUAAAAAUCUUCUACAACGAAACUAUAAUUGUUGAU